CUCCCUGAUCCUUGGCUUUCCCUUCCUCCACAGUGUGAUGAGAUUUCUGUGUACUCUUUGAAGUAUAUCCACAUUGGAGAAGUCUUCUGAGAAAAUUUCUGUGAACAUCUGAUCCUGGGGCUGAGGAAAACUUACUGCACAGUAAUCUCUACUUUCAUAUUACAUCAUAGGAAUUUGCUGCAGUUAAGGCAUUGUCUCCAUGAAGCCAGUGAACAAAUGUAAGUAGCUUUCCAGGAAGACAUCACAUAUUAAUGGAGUUUCUUAUACUUUUAGCAGAGAUCUCUUUUAGAUUAUGAAUAAAAAUAUCAAUAUUUGAGAAGUGCCAGAAAAGGAUGGAAAGCAUCUUUCAACUCAGAAGGAUUCUGGGUAACUCUAGCACAAGUC
rnacentral:lncRNA from 1 species